GGGCGCUGGAGAAUUGAGGGGGGCUGCUCCUAGUACGAGAGGACCGGAGUGGACGCAUCACUGGUGUUCGGGUUGUCAUGCCAAUGGCACUGCCCGGUAGCUAAAUGCGGAAGAGAUAAGUGCUGAAAGCAUCUAAGCACGAAACUUGCCCCGAGAUGAGUUCUCCCUGAGACCUUGAGUCUCCUGAAGGAACGUUAAAGACGAUGACGUUGAUAGGUCGGGUGUGUAAGCGCAGCGAUGCGUUGAGCUAACCGAUACUAAUGAACCGUGAGGCUUAACCUU
rnacentral:rRNA from 1 species